AGACCCGAAACCCGGUGAUCUAGCCAUGGGCAGGUUGAAGGUUGGGUAACACUAACUGGAGGACCGAACCGACUAAUGUUGAAAAAUUAGCGGAUGACCUGUGGCUGGGGGUGAAAGGCCAAUCAAACCGGGAGAUAGCUGGUUCUCCCCGAAAGCUAUUUAGGUAGCGCCUCGUGAAUUCAUCUCCGGGGGUAGAGCACUGUUUCGGCUAGGGGGCCAUCCCGGCUUACCAACCCGAUGCAAACUGCGAAUACCGGAGAAUGUUAUCACGGGAGACACACGGCGGGUGCUAACGUCCGUCGUGAAGAGGGAAACAACCCAGACCGCCAGCUAAGGUCCCAAAGUCAUGGUUAAGUGGGAAACGAUGUGGGAAGGCCCAGACAGCCAGGAUGUUGGCUUAGAAGCAGCCAUCAUUUAAAGAAAGCGUAAUAGCUCACUGGUCGAGUCGGCCUGCGCGGAAGAUGUAACGGGGCUAAACCAUGCACCGAAGCUGCGGCAGCGAACGUAUCACCCAAGACAACUUUACGGAGUUGACGAUUGACGGAGCGAAGCGACGUCAAAGCGUUCAUUAAAGUCGAGUUGGCUUAGGGAUACGUUCGUUGGGUAGGGGAGCGUUCUGUAAGCCUGUGAAGGUGUGUCGUGAGGCAUGCUGGAGGUAUCAGAAGUGCGAAUGCUGACAUAAGUAACGAUAAAGCGGGUGAAAAGCCCGCUCGCCGGAAGACCAAGGGUUCCUGUCCAACGUUAAUCGGGGCAGGGUGAGUCGACCCCUAAGGCGAGGCCGAAAGGCGUAGUCGAUGGGAAACGGGUUAAUAUUCCCGUACUUGGUGUUACUGCGAAGGGGGGACGGAGAAGGCUAUGUUGGCCGGGCGACGGUUGUCCCGGUUUAAGCGUGUAGGUGUGUGUUCCAGGUAAAUCCGGUUCACUUUAACACUGAGGCGUGACGACGAGGCACUACGGUGCUGAAGCAACAAAUGCCCUGCUUCCAGGAAAAGCCUCUAAGCAUCAGGUAACACGAAAUCGUACCCCAAACCGACACAGGUGGUCAGGUAGAGAAUACCAAGGCGCUUGAGAGAACUCGGGUGAAGGAACUAGGCAAAAUGGUGCCGUAACUUCGGGAGAAGGCACGCUGACACGUAGGUGAAGUGAUUUACUCAUGGAGCUGAAGUCAGUCGAAGAUACCAGCUGGCUGCAACUGUUUAUUAAAAACACAGCACUGUGCAAACACGAAAGUGGACGUAUACGGUGUGACGCCUGCCCGGUGCCGGAAGGUUAAUUGAUGGGGUCAGCGUAAGCGAAGCUCCUGAUCGAAGCCCCGGUAAACGGCGGCCGUAACUAUAACGGUCCUAAGGUAGCGAAAUUCCUUGUCGGGUAAGUUCCGACCUGCACGAAUGGCGUAAUGAUGGCCAGGCUGUCUCCACCCGAGACUCAGUGAAAUUGAACUCGCUGUGAAGAUGCAGUGUACCCGCGGCAAGACGGAAAGACCCCGUGAACCUUUACUAUAGCUUGACACUGAACAUUGAGCCUUGAUGUGUAGGAUAGGUGGGAGGCUUUGAAGUGUGGACGCCAGUCUGCAUGGAGCCGACCUUGAAAUACCACCCUUUAAUGUUUGAUGUUCUAACGUGGACCCGUAAUCCGGGUUGCGGACAGUGUCUGGUGGGUAGUUUGACUGGGGCGGUCUCCUCCUAAAGAGUAACGGAGGAGCACGAAGGUUGGCUAAUCCUGGUCGGACAUCAGGAGGUUAGUGCAAUGGCAUAAGCCAGCUUGACUGCGAGCGUGACGGCGCGAGCAGGUGCGAAAGCAGGUCAUAGUGAUCCGGUGGUUCUGAAUGGAAGGGCCAUCGCUCAACGGAUAAAAGGUACUCCGGGGAUAACAGGCUGAUACCGCCCAAGAGUUCAUAUCGACGGCGGUGUUUGGCACCUCGAUGUCGGCUCAUCACAUCCUGGGGCUGAAGUAGGUCCCAAGGGUAUGGCUGUUCGCCAUUUAAAGUGGUACGCGAGCUGGGUUUAGAACGUCGUGAGACAGUUCGGUCCCUAUCUGCCGUGGGCGCUGGAGAACUGAGGGGGGCUGCUCCUAGUACGAGAGGACCGGAGUGGACGCAUCACUGGUGUUCGGGUUGUCAUGCCAAUGGCACUGCCCGGUAGCUAAAUGCGGAAGAGAUAAGUGCUGAAAGCAUCUAAGCACGAAACUUGCCCCGAGAUGAGUUCUCCCUGAGACUUAGAGUCUCCUGAAGGAACGUUGAAGACGACGACGUUGAUAGG
rnacentral:rRNA from 1 species